ACUGUGUUACUUCCACAGGCAAGAAAUGCCAUCAGUGGGUUUGGGGCUUUGACUAGUGUUCAGUAAUUCAGUUUAACAGGAUCUGGACCACACUGGGCUGCAGUCCCUUUGUAAUGUACUACAAUGUGUGCACCUGCAACACACUGAGCUAAUAUUUAGAGAUAAAGCUCCAAAUCUGUCCUUUGCACUAUAAUAGAAUAUUCAUAGUAAGUGGGCCUUAUAAAACACUUGAUGGUUGGAAAUCACUAGUCUUGAAGGGUAUGCAAGAUUCAACGUUAAGUCUCUCAAAUCGCACAAGUUUACCUCAAAGACAUUUUUGGAGAACUCUUUUGAACUUGCUCUCAUUGAAUACCCAAUCCUGGCCUAAAGUACAGUGUAAUGAUGCUUAUAUAUCGCUCCACUGGCUCUGCAAGCCCACUUGAGCCAGUUUUGUACAACACUUCAGCUCCCGGGUGGGAGCUGCCGCCACAGCAGCGUCAGGCAGCCCUUCAGCACCACUCAGCUCCACGGCACCCGGCUGAAGGGUUUCCGUCAGGGAAACAUGGGAAGUACUCCAGAGAUUUUGCAAGUGGGGAAACCAGCUGAGCUCAGCCCCGUGGUCUCCAGCCAAGUGGGAGCAGGAGGUUAAGGGCCUGCAAUUAAGACGGAGAGAUGUUCAUUUAGAGCUUGAGGGUGGCAAAAUGGCAGCUGCUCCUAUAGGCCCUGCUGUGCUCUCACUAUGAGGGGACGGGCUCUUUGCUGACCCCUGGGCACCCCAUGCACAGACGGGCAAAGCUCUGCCUGUUCACCCACUUUAGGGCUUUGUGCCUCGUGGGGAAUUAGAGGUUCGCUCAGCACCGUGCGAGGCCUUAGGGCUGCGGGGAAACCACGGACGGCAGCACAGAAGAGCGUGGUGGGGCCGGGCAGAGCCGAGCGAAGGAGCGCAGCGGUGGCAGUGACCCGAGUGCGGGCGGGGGCUCCUGUCCCCCAGAGCGGUGCCUGUCUCCUCAGGAGGGUGAAAAACACGGGCCCUGCUCACGGAGUGUGUGAGGGCAGAGGAGGAGGAGGAGGAGGGAGCCCGGCAGGCCCCUGCCCAUGGCAGCGCUGGCCGGGGCAGUGGUGCUGCCGGGGCAGGGGCAGGGACAGGCCGUGGUGCACAGCGUGUCCCAGGGCAUGACUCUCACCCUGCAGGAAGGGAUCUGCGUGUUCUAUGACCUAGAGCUGGCACAGGUUCAUGUUCUGCAAGAAGAAGGGCAAGAAAAGAGUUCAGAAAGCAAGGCAACUGAGAAACCAGUAGACAUGCUCCGGAUGGAGAUUGACAGAGAUAAUGAUGCCAUUGCCUUUGAAAAUAAGAUCCAGCAGCUGAGCCCAUCUGAAGAGGGGGAAGGAAAGAAACCUUUUUCCACAGUUGGGGAAAAAAGGAGCCAAAGCUGCAAAGCGAGUGAAAAUUUGUCAGAGUUGUGUAAUGAAAGUAAAGAGCAGGAAUAUGCAACUGCAUCAGAACAAAUGGUUGUAAAAAAUUCCAAGAAUCUAAAAUUUCAGGCUUGUGCACCACGUCAGAAAAAAGGAGAAAAAGAAGGUUUCAACUGCUGUUUCUGUUCGUUCACCUCAGCCAGAUUGUCAAAUCUGAAGCGUCACUUGAAAACCCAUUCUGAUGAGAAACGUUACCUGUGUCACCUCUGCCCGAAGGCUUUUCGUACAGCAACUCUCCUGCACAACCAUGUGAACACGCAUACAGGGACCAAACCCUAUAAAUGCAGUGACUGUGAUACAGCAUUUGUGACCAGGGGUGAGCUUUCACGACACAGGCGGUACAAACACACCUUAGAAAAACCUUUCAAGUGCACAAUAUGUGAAUACUCCAGUGUAGAAGCCAGCAAAAUGAGACGACACAUUCGUUCCCACACAGGAGAGCGUCCCUACCCCUGUGACCUUUGCAGUUAUGCCAGCAAAGAUGCCUACAAACUGAAAAGGCACAUGUUAACUCAUACAGGAGAAAAACGCUAUGAAUGUUGUGUUUGCCGGGCCAGAUUCACUCAGAGCGGUACCAUGAAAAUCCACAUGUUACAGAAGCACGGAGAAAAUGUCCCCAAACACCAGUGUCCACAUUGCAGUACCCUUAUUUCCCGAAAAAGUGAUUUGGGUGUCCACUUGCGAAAUCUUCACUCCUACGUGGAGGAGGCCAUGAGGUGCAGUGCCUGUGAGGCCGUUUUUCACGAACGCUACGCUUUUCUUCAGCACAAGAAGACUCACAGAGGAGGAAAAGGAUUCAAAUGUGCUCAGUGCAGCUGCACGUGUAAUCAGAAAAAUAUGCGUAAGCAUGCUGAAAAUUGUGGAUUGGGGAGGGCAGAAACUGCUGCACCCAGAAAAAGAAGCAAGGAGAAAAACAAAAUCCAUGAGAACCCCAAGCGUGUUAAGUCAGAAGUGCCCAAGGAAUGCAGGAGCGUGUGGAGGGGCUGCUGGCUCCAUCCUGCCAGGAGAACAGCCCAGGAGGGACCUGCUGUUCCUGCCGGGCUCCCCUCGCCUGGCAGAUGCAGGCUGGCUGCAGGAGGUCACUGUGGGCAGCCAGGCUGCCCUAAUGUGGGGUUUUCUCCUUCUCAGGAGCAGCUGAUUGAGUCGAAACAAUACUCUGCUUUCCCCAUUUGAUGAUGAAGACUGACAGUUUGUGGGAGAUGAGUCAAAGGUCACUGAUGAGAAGAUCCAUCCAGAUAAUUGCUGUAAUUGCACCCUGAGGAUGCAGCUCCCGUCACAAAGCAUCAGGCAGUGACUCUGUUGCAGAGGUCCAAGGGAUUGGAAGCAAAAUAUUUGUUUUUGAAAGAAGUUACAGUGUUCGUUUUCUGUCAAAACUCCAUAAAGGAUUGUGAUUCCUCAGCCAUUAGUGAGGAGAAAUCUUGACAAAAAAACCAACUUAGAAUGUGUUUCAUCUUUUGGAUGAGGAUUACUCUCUGACACUUGACUUUUCUAACUGUAAGCAGGUUUAGAAGCAAAACAGAAUGCUGGAAGAAUGAAGUGUGAUGAAAGCGACAGCAUCACAAGUCUGGAAGGUGAUGCUGUUUUCUGGAUAGCUCUGCUGAGAGGAGAUGUUCAGAUUAAAGUGCAAGAUGGGGAUGAUGAAGAUUCUGUGACAGCAGUCAGUGGACAAGGAUGAGGGUCCUCUUGAAACUCUUCCUUUGGAGGUCCCUGUAAGUUAUCUCAGAGGUCAGUGAGACCCAUUUGCUCACGUUUCUCUGCCAUAUCAGUAACUUGCAGUAACAUCCCAAAUGUGAAAAGUGUUUUUAAUUGGUCUUCUGUAAAAGAAAUUGAUCUUGGGGAGGCUAAUAAGCAGUCUUUAUAUAUCCCUUACUUCUUCUGCCCAGAAUGAAGUUUACCAUUAAAAUUCCCUAAAAGGUUGCUGUUUUAGGAUUGCAUAAAAAGUACAGAGCUGAGCAGGGAUUGAAAGAUCAAUCCUACAAACUGUUGAAAUGCAAGUGAUUCUACUUAUGAGAGCUUCAGUGGGAAAAAUUCCCACCGUGAUUUGACUGUGGUCUGAUUCUCAUUUGCACUGACUCUCCUAUAUCCUGCUAGAAAUGGGUAGGAUUCAAUCUUGAGGGAGGAUGACCAUAUAAGAAAUUGUUUUUGAGUAUGUGGAAACAAGACAGACUCCAUUAAGGCAUUUUCUUACCUUCAUCUAAAUCUGAAAAUAAUCAUAAAUUGGUAAUGGUACCUUAAUUACCUUGAACAAUUAUUCAUAUAUCUUGUGUGUGUCUGUAUUUGUUUGGGGAAGCAGCCUUGUGAAAAUGAAGUUAAUUCAGUGUCUCAGAUGAAGAAGGAUAUUUGUUAGAAAUUGUUGUCAUAAUAGUUACACAAAAGGAUUCAAAUAUUCUCUAGCUUAGUAUGAAUAAAAUAUUAAAAGAUACAGGUGUUGUUCAUGAACCAUCAAAGAGUUUUCCACUGCCACUGUGUUUUAUUAAAAUGAAAAGAAGAAGAGAAAAGAAAAAAAGCCCUGUGCUAAUCCUUUCCUUUGUUGCUUAAGGGACGUUUCAGUAUAAAGUAGCAAUUUCCAUAUCAUUUGAAUAGCAGUUGCAACCCAUUGAUGUUUAAAGUAAAAUGUGCAACUACUGUAAUCAGCAAAACAGAUGCAAAUGUGUUGUCUGCCUCCCAAGUGUAGCUCCCUGCUUGCUGUCUCCGUUAGAUUUAGAGUGCAAAACAUGAUCAGAUAAUGAAAAACAUGGAAGCUAUUCUUUUAUCUCUUUCAUAGCAGUAGUUUGUUCAAAAGCAAGUUGGCUGGAUGCAGCACUGAGUGAGAGUCCUGCAGCAGCAGCCCCAGCCCCUGCUCCGGAGCUACAGGAGAUGCCUUGGUGCUUUGGAGGUGGAAAAGGGACCCACCACCCUCUUCAUUAACCCUGCCCCUGCCCCUGGGGACAGGAAUGGCCUUUUGGCUCUGUUUAAGCCCAGUGGCAUCCCAGUGCAAGUCUCUGCACAUUUUUAUUACACAGCAUGUGGGCCUCAGGAGCCACACACAGGAGCCCAGACAGAAUUACUUGUAACCUUAGUGGACGAGAGGCAAUUACUCCUGAACUCCUGGGAAAACUUCUGUCCAGAGCCAAAUAUUGUUGCUUGGAUUGUUUGCUAUUCCAGGAUGACUCUUAGGCUCAGUACAACGUCAUCAUAACUUCAUGCAGAUAUUUGUUGUUCAGGACAAGUUUUGAAACUCAUGCUCUAAUCUCGAAAUAGUAAAAUGCUGCCGGGUUAAGUGGUGGAGUUCACUGGAAAAUCUGCCCACUUCAGUGGGAAAGAUUUUUUUAAUACAUUAAAAACAAAACAGAUUUGGAAAGGUCAUUUUAAAUAUUAAGAACUGUGGCUGAAGGGCAGGGCUGUGUGCUGCAGAAGUUUUGGCAUUCAGGAUUUCGUGUAGGUGCUCUGUAAAUGACCUCUCUUGUACAAGCCCACAAGGACAGGUGGGGCUGUUAAAAGGAAUAAUUAAAUUCUUAUAUUUAAUUAUCUUUCUUGUCCAGUUGUGCACUGAGAUGCCCCCACUAAUUGCACUGAUUCUGACUUCAGCAAGAGCUGCACCAGCCCUGAAUAUUUAUAAGGAGAGUUAAAUAAAAUCUCAGAUCAAAUUCUUAGAGAUACAUGUAAGAACUUUGUGAGUCUUUUUUAUUUUGAGGGCUUGUAACUAAAGGAGAUGUUCAGUGUGUUCCUUAGUGGGUGCCAAAAAGCUUAUUUUCAGAAGUGUCUGAAUCUCAGGGUAAGUCAAUGACUGCUAUAUUUAAUCUGAAGUCUAUGUAACUGCUGCUGAAAUCAAGCUGUGUGCUUUUUGUAAUAAUGAUAUGAAAAAAUAGAGCAUUUAUAUGAAAAGUCAGGAACCAUGCAUGUAACUUAUAUGCCAGGGUAAUGUAGAUUUCAAAAAAACCGUUCAACAACAUGUCUGAAGUUGUGCUGCAAAUAUUAUCGUAAGGAAAGUAGAAAUUAAGAAAAUAUUUGUGAACUCUUUGCAGUAUUUGGUAAAUAGUUUCCAGAAAAACUGACAUCUGAAGUUUGUACACAGGCCUUGUUCUGUUGGUAACUACAGCCAGUGGGAGUUUUUGCCAGGGUCUCUACUGAAACAGGAUCCAAUUCUUUUUUUUUUUUUCUUCUUAUGUGGAGAUAUAAAUCUUAGACCUUAAUUACACUUAAGAAGGAAAAUACUUUGUCUUUUUAUGUAAAAAAAAAAAGUCAUCUAACUAUUAAAAAGCAUUAAAAAAUACUUGAGGAAAGGCUUCCUUAAAUCAAACAAAUCUCUCAUUUUGCUUUUAGGCCUUCCUGGAGGGUGCUGUGUUUAUAUUAUUUACUUUAAGUGUGAGAACUUUGUGUCAGAUCAAACCAUUAGCAACUCUCUGGGCAGCAAAUGGCAAAACACAGCUCGGGGCCCCUCUGGAGAAAUGCAGUUUCCACACUUUCACAUUUCACCUCAGGAUGCAAGUGUCAGUGUUGCAGGGCUGUGUCCUUCUGUGAGUGCUUUGGGAUACUGUGUGCAGAGAGCACAGUGCUGUGGCCCAGCCCUGGCUGGAGGGGCACAGCAUCACUGGCUUUGUUCCAGGUGACCACUGGUGCAUCCUGACCAUCAGACCCCUCAGACUUGAGGUUCAGUCAUAUUUCCCUGAAGAAAUGACAUGUUUUGGUAGAAGAAGUAACCAUGAGGCAGGAGUUGAAAGCUGAAGCUGUGAAACACAAGCUUGGCCCAGCCUGAUGUCAGGGGACAACCUCUGAUGUUUGCAAUGACAUAUAAGCCAUCACUGCUGUUCCUUUGCCUUGCAAUAGCACCAUGACACAAACCCUGCUGGACCAGGCACUGCACCAGUGCAGAGCAAAAAGCUGUCCCUACCCCAAAGAGGACUCAGACUCACAAGGUAAUUACUUAUCUUUGUCCAUUAAUUUUCCUUUUUUUUUUUCUUAAGUACCCAGAUAAUAUUUUUUUCUCUCCCAGACUCAAAGUACAGUGACAAAUAAAUGAUUUCAAGUAUCCUCCUGAGAUAGGGAGAACUGAGAUAGAUGUUGCCAGCAGGCACUGAUCCACCUGUGGUGAUGGAAGGUUGAGGGAUUCAUGAGGGAAUGACAGAUCUGGAAAGCUGCAGCAUGGCUUUUUUUAAAAUGACACAACCAAAGAUAUUCUAGAGAUUAUCCUCCAAAAACUCGGUGAUCAAGGGCUUAAUGACUUAAAUAGCGGUCAAAUGUCUGCUUGUUAUCAAUCACCUAUUGCCAGUUGAACUGCAUUAAUGAGGGUUUCUUGAUAAAAGCUGCCUUAUCAUCCGGAACUGAGAUACCCAGCAUAAUGUGCUCCAGCAAGGCUUGAGGAAAUGCUCCUCUUAGCAGCAAAGCAGACGAUGUGUCGCUUUCCUGAAUUAGUCUGAGUCAAAUGGAUGGUCAGACCCUCCAGAAAGAAGCAAUUUCUUUCACCUCUUGUAUUAAAGGAGUGCUUUAUCCAUGUGUCAGAAAGCAUUCUGGCUGUCUUGCAAGAGUUUAGAGUCCAACCAAACACACCUUGCUGGCCAUUUGCAGUGGUCAGGGUUGAAGGUCACAGGGCAGGGUCACUGCACCCUGAGGGGAUGGCACAGGGUUUCACUGUGCAUUGUACAUCCCCCCGCCAUAACCACUUACCUCCUUGGAGAAAAUGGGUUGGAAAUGGUAUUUAACAUUGUUGAUGACAAUUUUUCCAGAUUUAUUACCUGUUUUUUGUUCACUGUUUGGCUGCCUGCUCCCUUUCCAUCUGCCAGCCCUGUAAUCCACCUCCUCUUAUCUCAGCACAGUUCGCUCCACCUCUUGCUCAUUUUUGUUUUAUUGCCCAGCUAAUCUCAUUCUCCUGCUUUUCCUGACACUGCUCCCCCCUCCCCAUCUGUGGAGAUUAAAUCACUUCUCCUUUUGUUUGAUGCCGCUCAACAUUCCCCCAUUUCACUCAGGUUUUGGGAUACUUCCAGGCACUUUUGCUGUUGUUGCACACAUCCAUUUUCCUGGCACAAAAAGGCCCAUCAGCAUCUGAUGGAAGCGUUACUGAGUCCUCAUUUCAACCAGUUCUCAGAGAUGUCCUGAAUGUGAAAUGAAGCUGAGCUCAGCCUGCACAGUGUAGCAGAGGCAGGUGUGUGUGUCAGGAAUUUCAGGAGCAUCCACAGGGUGCUCAGGGCAGCUCUAGAGUGGUGACAGAGCCUGGCAACUGAAUAUUACUCAAGAAAACUGGAGAUCAAAGGCAUGGGGUAAAAAAUCUCCAAGCUACCAAAAUGUGAAGUUUUGGAAGUGGUUUUCAAUAUUGUUGGUAAUGUAUCAGUGUAGUCAGCCAUCAUCCCUAUUUACAUCUAGUGGCUUGUCAGUGUUCAUGGCCCCAACAGUGUCAUUCCAGUUACUGCUGAGAGUUGCUGGGGGUUUUAGGCUCAAGGUUGAAGCCAGUCUCCCUGUUCAAGGGUGUUAAGUGCAUCCUGGUUUGGGCACAACUGCAGCUUUGGGGGGGACACGGUGGAUUUUCAUGCCAUGUGUUUCUGGCACCCUUCCACCUUCCUGCACAGAGAACAGUGCUGGACACUCCUCUACCAGUAUUUCCUCCACCUGUGUGACUGUGCAAGUCCACUGACUGCACUGCUGCUUGUGUUGGCUCAGAACUGGAACCAGCAGAGCCUUUAACCCCCUGGCAAACCCUGGACAAUUUCAAAAUGCCUUGCAGGGACCACAUGCACUGACAGGACUCCUCACAGCUGUCAAUCGCUGUUCCUCCUCACUGUGAGCACCCCAGUGUGUUUGCUGCCAGAACAAACCCUAAAGUCUUCAAAUAACCCCCCUUUCAGUACAUGGGAGAUGCUUCCCUUAGCAAGGACAGUUGCUGUUUGGCCCUAAUCAUUGAGUUUAAGAUUUUUUUUUUAUUCUGUUUGGGUUGUAUCUCUUGCCUUAAUCUCCUCUUGCAAUGCUAACCAUGAUGCAUUUGCUAUAUGUCCCCUCACUACUUUUAUCUACCAACAUGUUUUAAAUAGGUUUAAAGAGUACAGGAGCUAAAAAAAAAAAAAAAUCAGGCAGCUUCAGAUGAAAGCCAGCAGCAGGCCUUUAAAAAUAGAGUGGCAGCCCUGCACGAGGUGCCGAGUAAGUGGGUGCACGGGAGGGGAGUGGAGCGGCUGCAGAGGCUCUGUUUAAACAGGAGGUAAAUAAGUGGCUGGGGGAGCUGCAGUUCAUCUUGUUCCCUUACGUGUUGCCCAGAUAAUGCAACAUAUCUUCAGGCAGGCUGGUUCUAAAAAUGGACACAGCUCUUGGGUUUCACUGGGUGACGCUCGGGCUGCGCUGUCCUACAGUCCGUGGGAGCAGUGAAAUGGCAUUUAGUGUUUCAAAAGCAGCAGCAGUGCUCAGGUCUUGUCACUGGUACUUUAUGAAGACUUCUAUAAUGAAGAAUGUGUGACUUUAUACCAUGGUGCCUAAUGCAGAAGCAGCUGCCUGUAAAUCCCUGGGGUCAGGCAAUGUUUUGUUAAAAUUCCCCUUCCUGCUGUGGUUGACCUGUGAAAACAGCAAUCAUCUGACAGUGACAGCAGCACUUACUUAGUAAUUCAGGAUUAAAGUGUUCUGUCCAAUGAGUAAUUUCACAGAAGCAGAGUUUAGAAUUGGAGCUGGUUUAAUAUAACAAAACUAUUGUCAUGAAAGCCUCCUUGGCAUUUUAAUGGUGUUUUUCUUUGGUCUAAAUAUACAUGAGAAGUUGAGAGGAUGUUUAAAUCUGAGCAGGGGAUAAAAGGGACCAAGAGAAAGACUUAAAGGUCUUGUCCAAACUCCGCACAAUUGUGUGAGCCACUGGCUUCCCUAGGACAGGGCAUCAUCCCAGGGAGCUGCACAAUUCACCAUUCCUCUCACUGCUCCAGGGGUGUUAGUGUCAUUAUCUUCCUUCUCACCCUCCUCUCUCCUGCCUAGUUGAGCACAGCUCAGCUGUGCAGAGGAUGAAUAUUUGUUAACCUCCAGUGGCUGCAGUAAUGGUCAACUGGCCCUUCUGUGCUCCCAAAGAGACUGUGUUUGGGUUGGGCACAUGCUGCUCACUGGCAUGGAGAAUUCUCCAUUUCUUUCCAAAUGAGUCUUCUCAGGCUGUCCCUGUUCAGCAAAUUCAGGAGAGAAAGGGCAGCAGGGCCCCUUGACCAAACCAUGGCAAGCAUGUUCUGUAGAAGGCAGCAGAGAGUGCAGCCUUCCCUGUGGGAAUGAAGUGGUCCUCUGUUGAGUGAAGUGUUGCCUACAAGGUUAAUUAGCUGUAGAAAAUGAGCUCGAAUACUUAGGAGUAAUGAAUCAUAAUGAAUCGUUAUGUUUGAGGAGUGACAAAUUAAAUUCAUGCAUAUUUUGGACUACUUGUUUUAGUCAGAAUGGAAAAUAGUGCUAUGCUUUUUUCUGUUGUUCUGCCUUCAUGUUGAGAUGUCAGGAAGCAAAUCGAUAUGGCCAGAGUUUGUAAAGUCUGGCAGUGCUUGAUUGCACAAUGUUUAAUCUCUCUCCUGAGUCUCUGAGCUGGGCUAGGAGCAGGGGCUUCUCUGGAAUCAAUACAUUUGCCUCCACCUUCAGUAGAUGGUAUUUUGACCUGAAAAAACACAAAACUUCUCCUAAGCUAAAAGAGAAAAAAAAAAAGUUGUGUUGUCCUAAUCCUGUGAGUGGUAGUGUCUUAUGGCAGCUCUGAUUGAGGUGUAGCACCCUCAUCUAGGAAAGCAGAUUGAAUUACAGCCCCACCUCCCAGACCAAGGUGAGUCAAGGGACCUAUUUGUAGCAAGAUUCAUCAGAUCCUUCGGCUCCUGCUGUUCCCAGAAGAAUCUCUGGAGUUUUUCUGUGGAAUUAGAUCCAGCAACAUAACAAGCUAAGGGGCAGACAGGCAUUGUAACCCUUGAAAUACCUGGAAAGUAAGGAUAAGCAAGCUACUCCUACCUGGAAGAUAACUUCUGGAAUCUCAAUGUAAGAUGAAGGACACUGUGAAAAAGAGGAUCUUGAUAAGAAGAAUUUGUUCUUAGCCCCCUUCAAGAAUCGUAACAUAUCCCUGGGUGAGCUGAAGCCUGACACAAGCUGCUGUCCUUUGGGGUUUUUUUUGAUUUGGUCCCAAGGUUCAGCUGGUUCAAGGCUGGAGGAGCUGUGAGCAGGGGGAGGAUUUGAAUUCACAGCCUCUCUUUUAAAUAGAUCGGUGGUUCCAGGAGGGCAAGUGAUACUGCUGCAGUGAUUAAGUUCUUUGCUGGAUUGAUGCCUCUGGAAGUGUUUGGAGAGAUUUGACAGAUCUUCCAGUCUGUUGAAGGUUCCCAUGGUGUUGGCCCAGCCAUGACUGUGUGAGGCAAACUGUUUGUGCCACCCCUGGGAGAAAGCAUCUUUCUCACUCAGAACAAAGAGCUCUUGGGCGUUCAAAGACAAAAGGUACCAACUGACAUUUAGUUCUGCUACUAAUUAUAUGUCAAAACUAAUACAAGUUAAGACUAAAUUAGUACACUUCUCCAGAUGUUUUCACAGUUGCCCUGCCUGCAGCACUGUGGGUUAUGUUCUGAGCUGUUAGCUACUCAAACUAGUCCUUCUCAUCUCCACUGAUGUCGUUGCUCCUGGCAUGAUCAGGUGCAAACUCCCACUUAUUAAGUGCUAUGAAGGAAUCAUUCUGACACAAAGUGGAAAAUCCUCCUUGGGGUUCAGAGCUCUUGCAAGAGGCAGCCAGUGAGGUGGCUGCUUAUAGAGCUGACCCCAUGCUUCAAGUUGUGGAUUCAUGUACAAUAUCUGUGAAAGCAGCUAUCCUUGCUCUUGCCAAACUCCUCAGAAGACCCAUAAAAUGAUGUUAGUUGUAAGCCACAAGCUGGCUCUUAUCUUUGAAUUGUUUUUCUCUGACAACUUUAAGAAGAGCUCAGCAUGUUCUCAGUAGGAGCUGAUGGAUGCUGAGCACUUCUGAAAUCCUGCCAACUUCAUUUAGGUUCCUAAAUGGGAACUGAGUGCUUUUGAACAUAUGAUCCUAAGGGUGCAUUUCAUAACACUAUAGCUCUGUCCAUAUCAUUUCUUUCCUCUCUCACUGUCCCCAGAAUGCUCCCAGCAGCAGCAAUAACACCAGGAGCACUGGGCUAGUCAAGGCCUGAGUGAUGCCUCAGUUAUGAUGUCAGCUCAAGGCACACUGAACUGAAUUAAAUGACAGCAGUUAAAAGGUGCCUGUCUGCAUCCAGUCUGCAGUAAGGUCACCAUCAUCACUACCAGCAUUAUGGGUAUAUUUGAGAUAGCUGUGGUAGAUUUUAUAUGUAUGUAUAUAUAUGAAAAUAAAAAUGUAGUGCAAAUUCUGCCUUGUUUUUCAGAGUAUUUCAUCCCAUGUUUCAGGCCAUGUGCACUCUACUCGACAAUGCUCUGACUCUCAAUUUCAGGAUUCAAAUUUUCUCCUAGGUAGGUUUGUGGGGCAGAUAUAAUGAAUAUUUUUUAGUGUUUGUGGAGCAGGGUAGGAGGGCAGAUGAGCCUUUAUCUGAAGCUUUUCCAACAGACUUAGUGCAUGGACAGCAUCUGUUUUGGUCUUGUGAGGCUGACAUCCUCUCCCAGCAGACUUGGCAGUGAGCAGAAGAGCCACAUGUCAAAAAAUCUGGGGGGCCCAUGCGCUGUGGACAAAAGUAUGGCAAAGAAUUUAAACAUCGGUGAGUGGAGUGAUGCUGGAGGGCUGGCUGAAAGCGAUUAGCACAGUGCUCUGGAAUGUGGCAUUUCAAUAGCCGCUCCAGAAGGAUCUGCAGCCCCAUUGACUUCUGCAGCGUCAGGAAAGAGCCCUCACACUCCAGCUUUUGCCAGUGUGAAUGGGAACGUGCAGGGCUGUGUGUGCAGCAAUCACAGAGCUCUCUGCUCUGGCUCUGCACACCCUGCCCUGUGUCCUGCUGAUGGGGGGGUUUCCUUUGCUCCACGGGAAUCCCAUACCCCAGUGACUCAGGUGGCUCUGGGUCCUCGUGCGUUGCCAGAACCCCCCCUUUCAAAUCUGCAUCAAUAUCAGCUGUAGCUUUGCUGUUUGCCUACCCUGGGCCAAAGCACCAAAGGCCACCUGUGGCCAUGAUCCAGCUGUUGUCAGCUGUGCAGUCGGGUGGUGGGUGGUGUGGGGUUUGGGUGUUUUGUUGCCACGUGUGUCAGUGUGGGGCUUGGGUGUUUUGUUUCCACUGCUGCUGGGUUUUGGCCUCUUUGGGAAUGCACCAAGUGGGACUAAGAAUGUGUCUUUGUUCACAUUCACUUGUUUAAUUUUUUUUUUUACAUUUUCCUUCCCCCCCCCCCCCCCCACUUCUGACUUCUAGGUAGAUAAUCAAAGUGUGAAAUAAAUUAAAAAUAAAGCUGGGUAGAAGGCCUGACUGAUGAGAGCACAUAGAUUUUUAGUUGAGGUGAGAGAAGAACAUGCUCAUUCAAGCCCUCAUGGAGGGCAGGGAAUUCCCUGGCUUUUGUCUAAAUAUGGCAUGAGAGAGUGGAGCACAGGCAGUGCAAUGCUUCACUGAGUAUUGUUUAAAAGGGAGCUUGGCAGUGGCCAGCAAGUAGGAUUCUUGUGAAAACAUGGCACAAGGAGUUGUUUGACAGAUUCUGACAUAGCAAAGUCUUUACAAGGGGAAAAAAAAAAAACAAAGAAGGAAAAGAGAGAAACUGCAGACUACAUGAAGCCAAAAGCAUAGUCUCUGCCUAGAAGAUUGCAGAAUAAAAGGCACUUAGCACUGAGUCACACCCUGCAAGCUCUGUGGGUCUGAUCCUCUCAGUGAUCGAUUGCACUGAGUUAAAACCCCCUCCUAAAUGAUUGCCUGUUGUCAGUCAUCCAGAAGAGGGGAUGAAGAGGAGUGAGAGCUGGGGAGGAGACUGCCAUGGCUUGCACCCACUCACCAGAGUCUCUAUCUCAGACUUGCCUGGUUGGAUGGACCCAUUCUCUACCAUCUCAUGUUUCCCCCUGCGGGUAAAUGACGUUUCACUAGCAGGUUUUUGGAUGCAGCACUCAGUCCCAAGCAAUCCCGUGGUUUGUGUAGGUGUUUCCCUUUUGCAAAGCUUAUGCUGAUUUGUGGCUUUGAAUAUCUAUUGCAGCAGUGAGCAAUGAUUCCUGCCUGGAAGAAAACCCCUCUCCCACUGCCUCUGCCAUGUCUGGAGACACUGUGAGUCCCUCAGAGCAAAAAGGCCUUUACUCAUCUCAGCAAUGGAGAGUUUUGCCUCCAAAAUUCCAAGUCUGCUCUUGAAAUAUGGCCAUUAUGUGAGUAUGUUUGAGGGAGGGAAAACUUAUCUGGGAUUCAGUGCACUUCUGGAGGUCUUGGAUGGAGACACCUCACUCGGUGACUCUGCUACUGACACCAGCUACUGAACAGACUGUGUAGCUCAUACAGAGGAGGUCUUGGCUCAGGCUUCCCCAUUUAAAGUGGAGCCCUUACCUAAAUUCACCUUGAAUGCAACAUUCAUGCUCAAUCACAGCUGGAGCUUCCUCACAUCGAAGAUAAGACAGUCUUCCUCUGGUUGGUGGUUUGGAUGGUGUCCUGCAAUGUAAACUAGAAUGAUAGGAGUAGUCUGUAAUUAGCACAUAACCUCAGGCAGUUUUGUUCCUGAAAUGCAAGGCCUAAGUUGUUCUGCUGCGAUAGUGUUGGUUUAGUGAGUCCAUUAACUGCUCUGCAUCAUAUCAGUGAAAGCUGUUCCCUAAGAGCUGCAAAGGUAUGGAAUAGGAACCAGAAGUCUCUGAUCCAGUCCUGCAGGCAUAUUCCAGUGAAACCAAAGGGAAGUCCAUCAUAUGUGUUGCCCAUCAGAUGCACUCCAUGGCAAAGCAACGAAGCCCAAGAGUUUCUGGAUCAUCUUAGCAAAGCUCAGGGGAGAGCAAAGGCGCGGGAGCACUCCCCUACCCUUUUUGAACCUUUCAGUUGAUGUUGUUAAUUGUAGUGGAGCUGCUGCAAAUAUUUUGGAAAGCAAAUAUUUGAUGUCCUCAUCCAGCGGAAAAUAAGUCGAAGGACCAACCUGCUGCCACUCACUUGGUCAUUGCAACAAAACCGGGGCUGAGAAUCAAUAGCAACAACGCUGAGCUUUUGUGGUCACCUCCUCUCCAAACAAGGGCUGUGAUGUGAGAGCAAACAACACCUGCUUGGAGGAACUGGGCACGGGCUGAAAGGGAGCUGGUGGGCAGAGGCUGUUUGUGCAGCACUGGGCUCUGGGGUGGGGCUGCUGGCAGAGGCAGGAGGAAGAUGAUAUCUCCAUCAGCCCGUGCUAAUGCGAGAGGCAGAAAUGGGUGAGCUCCUGCCUUCCCUGUGCCCCGACUGGUGAGUGAUGGACAGUGACUCCUCCGUGCCUACCAGGAGGAAAGCCCUGGAGUGGGACUGCCCUCCAGGCAGUCCUGCUCUUGGCUGGGGUCUGGGUCACAUCAGAGGACAAAUCGAAGGCUUGUCACAAGCAGAAAAUUGGGCAGCUCCUUGUGUGGCGGAGGCAGCAGAUCAGUCACCACUCACAUCUCUGCCCAAGUAUGAAUUCUCUAAGGAAGACCAAUAUCACUUUGCCCUAACUGGAAAGCAGGGGAGAUGGCACAUACUUCCCAUGCUCUGGCUGGGCCCAAAUACCCAAUGUGCAAGUGAUCUGCUUUUGGGUGCUGCUUUUUUUCUAAAUCCUAUUUUUUUUGUUGUUUUUAGCCUUCUAAAAACAAACUUCGGAUUCAUCAGUGAUCUCAUCACAUUACAGAUUCUCUUUCCUGGGAAACUGAACUUCUGGUAUAAUCAUGGGAAAGUCUCACCUUCCCUUUUUUAUUUUCUUUUAACUGAGUUUCUAUUGAAAUCAGCUUGGCAGACCAACACCUCAGAACGAAAGACACAAAAGAAAACCCUUUGUUACUACUAUUUCUUUUUAAUCUCUUGAUUUUCUUACCAAUCUAGUGAUUUUGGAGAUAGCAAGUGAUAUUUGGAUAUUUAAAGACACAUAUUCAAAUCUGUAGAGUAGGCAGGCCCCUUAAUAAUACAUUUUACCAAUGGUCUGUUUAUCCCAUCGCUGGCAAAAAAAUAGAGGCAAAACCCAAUAAUUAAUUACUGCUCUGUCUUUUGUACUGUUCUUUGAACUGCAACAUUUUUGUUCACUCCUACCCUUUUUCUAGCUCUUACAAAUGCUCUGCACAACUGGAAGGUGGCUCAGCAAAGCCAGUGCAGUAUCUCUGUAGCCAAGCAAGGACAGACUUGGCUCCUCUUCAAAGGGAGCUUUUAUCGGGUGUUUAGCGUGAUGUGACAAAGCAGGGAAGUGUGCCAUGGAUGCAAUGCUUCCAAAUCCCCACCUUCUACCUUGAUUGAACUUGAGAACAAUUAUCCCUUGCCAGGGUGAUGAGCCCUGCCGAUGUGCAUCUUGUUUACAGCCGUGCUCAGUUUUUAACAUAUUUUCCUGUUUUGGACUAGGACAGCACGAUUCUGCUUUAUGAACUGGACAAAAUCCAUUUAAAAUAUCAAGUUUCUCGUAUUUUACCACAGGAACCAGAAUGUGGUGUUUUGGGCUGGCAGCCCCAAUGCCCCAGGAUGACACUGCUCACGUGUGCAAAGUGACGCCUGGGCCCCAGCAGACCUGCAAGGUCUCACUGUCAGUGUGGGAAAGCUUUGGAUGGGGCCAGUAGAAACUAAAAAGAUUUAUUCUGGGAUUAUUUUAUUGUGCUUGGAACAAGAAUUUACUGUCUGGUGUGACUGAGCUUUAGAUGCUGCUGUAAAUUCCAGAUGAAAAUUGCACAGCAUUUGCCAUUCUGUUUUGCCCUAUUUUGUUUUGUGUUUCCUUUUCAUUCCUAGAUUCUGCUUUAUUCUGAAUUCUAAUGAAUUUAGAUCAUUGGAUCAAUGUCUUAUUAAAAAAA